rnacentral:lncRNA from 1 species
AGAGAAGCAGGGUUGAGUGAGUUGGGUUGUUGGUACUACGCAGAACGGAGAAAGUGCCCCCAAACUAGGUUACCAUUAGUCGCGGUUCCAAGUCACGUUCCAUAUGCUGUUCCACCGACUCUUCGGGGACAGCAGAAAUUACUCCAGGUCUCAUCUCCCCAAAGGAAGGAAGAUAAAGGUUCCUGCCCAGGACUGCCUGCAGGGGGGACUGCUGCAAAUUAUUGGAGGAGCCAGAAAGACUUCGCAGCUCCUGGACGGAGGAAGCAUUGAUAGAGGGAGUCUCGGAGCUCAAAGGAAACUACCCCAAGCCUUAGUCCUGGACCAGUCGUUGACUGAGUAACUUUAGUUUCCACUAUCUCCUGUUUUCUACAACUGCCAUUGAAUUGUUAACAGCGCACUGUUACAACAGGAGUAGCAAUGAUUUUUUUUUUAAAGGUAACUAAGUAGAAUUAAAUACAUCUUUAACAGGCUAUUUUAUUUCUUCCAGGCCUUCUCUAAUCUUCAAACAAAAUCUAAAAUCAACAUUUAUAUAAAGUGCAUAAAAUGCUCAGCACGGAAGUGAAUGGAGUUAUGCACAAUAAAUUCUGUUUUCUAUCUUUUCAGAUAGAAAGACAAUGAGAAGUUCUCCUUUUAGGGGUGGGGUGGGGCCAGUGAUAAAUAAACUUAAGAUCAAAGUAAAAACCUGAAAAAGUAAAUUAGCAACGUGUCUAAAAUCGGAUUUCCUCAUAACCCAUUCUUAAAAAAAUCUCAUCUUCAAUUAUUAUUUUUUUUCAAUUUCAGUUAAAAUGCAACUUUCAGAUUAGGAAGGCUGGGAGAGAAAGGAGAGCUUUUAAAAUUUCCUUCUGAAAAUCUGCUAUAAGAA